UGAACGCUGGCGGCAGGCCUAACACAUGCAAGUCGAGCGGAUGAGAAGAGCUUGCUCUUCGAUUCAGCGGCGGACGGGUGAGUAAUGCCUAGGAAUCUGCCUGGUAGUGGGGGACAACGUUUCGAAAGGAACGCUAAUACCGCAUACGUCCUACGGGAGAAAGCAGGGGACCUUCGGGCCUUGCGCUAUCAGAUGAGCCUAGGUCGGAUUAGCUAGUUGGUGGGGUAAUGGCUCACCAAGGCGACGAUCCGUAACUGGUCUGAGAGGAUGAUCAGUCACACUGGAACUGAGACACGGUCCAGACUCCUACGGGAGGCAGCAGUGGGGAAUAUUGGACAAUGGGCGAAAGCCUGAUCCAGCCAUGCCGCGUGUGUGAAGAAGGUCUUCGGAUUGUAAAGCACUUUAAGUUGGGAGGAAGGGCAGUAAGCGAAUACCUUGCUGUUUUGACGUUACCGACAGAAUAAGCACCGGCUAACUCUGUGCCAGCMGCCGCGGUAAU
rnacentral:rRNA from 1 species